GCUCAGCUCAGGGGUAGAGCACCUGCCUGGCAUACAGGAGGCCUGGGUUCCAUUCCCAGCACUGAGUG
rnacentral:tRNA from 1 species